rnacentral:rRNA from 1 species
AACGCGAAGAACCUUACCAGCCUUUGACAUGUCCGGUAUGGUCGUCAGAGAUGACUUCCUUCCCGCAAGGGGCCGGAACACAGGUGCUGCAUGGCUGUCGUCAGCUCGUGUCGUGAGAUGUUGGGUUAAGUCCCGCAACGAGCGCAACCCUCGCCCUUAGUUGCCAUCAUUUAGUUGGGCACUCUAAGGGGACUGCCGGUGAUAAGCCGCGAGGAAGGUGGGGAUGACGUCAAGUCCUCAUGGCCCUUACAGGCUGGGCUACACACGUGCUACAAUGGCGGUGACAAUGGGAUGCAAUGGAGUAAUCCUGCGCAAAUCUCAAAAAGCCGUCUCAGUUCGGAUUGUGCUCUGCAACUCGAGCACAUGAAGUUGGAAUCGCUAGUAAUCGCAGAUCAGCACGCUGCGGUGAAUACGUUCCCGGGCCUUGUA